CAUGUCGAGGCCGAGCGCGGCGCUUCCCGCUACGGGCCGCGCCGAGGCUCAAACACCGCCGCGCCGCCACAGCGCGGCCGGAUAGAAUUAUGAAAAAGCCCAACCAAGUAAGACACCCAACGAAGCCCAUAAACACUGGUGCUUAGGCAUGGAGGCCGGAAAACUGUGUUUAAAUCAGGACUGCAAGGCAGACUGAGGCCUCCCCAUCCUGUGAUCCGGCGUGACUCGUGCGAUUCCUUGGCCUCGGAGUGCGUUUCUCCGCACACGUUGUUGGAAAUGCACAUUUUGAACUGGCUCUCGCAGGCAGGUUGAAAACAAUUGAGGGAAACAGAGAAGGAAAAAUGAGCAGAAAACCUGCUGCUGAUGCAUGGCGGGAAGUUUUCCUAAAUGCCAUCAGGUGCAUGUGAGAAAACUUGGAAUACUUGAAGCGUUUAAAACCCAAGGACUCUAUGGCAAUUUUCCAGCUUUUCAUCAUCA